GACAGAGGGUGCAAACGUUGUUCGGAUUUACUGGGCGUAAAGCGCGUGUAGGCGGCUUUGCAAGUCGGAUGUGAAAGUCCACGGCUCAACCGUGGAAGUGCAUCCGAAACUGCAUGGCGUGGAGUCCCGGAGAGGAAGGUGGAAUGCUUGGUGUAGAGGUGAAAUUCGUAGAUAUCUGGAGGAACACCGGUGGCGAAGGCGGCAUCCUGGACCGGCAUUGACGCUGAGGCGCGAAAGCCAGGGGAGCAAACGGG
rnacentral:rRNA from 1 species